rnacentral:rRNA from 1 species
GACAGAGGUGGCAAGCGUUGUUCGGAAUCACUGGGCUUAAAGGGCGUGCAGGCGGUGAGGUAAGUCUAUGGUGGAAUCCUUUGGCUUAACCAGAGAAUUGCCGUGGAAACUGCUUCACUUGAGUGAGCGAGGGGAGAGUAGAAUUCCCGGUGUAGCGGUGAAAUGCGUAGAGAUCGGGAGGAAGGCCUGUGGCGAAAGCGGCUCUCUGGCGCUCAACUGACGCUGAGGCGCGAAAGCGUGGGGAACAAACAGG